rnacentral:rRNA from 1 species
UACGGAGGGUGCGAGCGUUGUCCGGAAUCACUGGGCGUAAAGGGCGCGUAGGUGGCGACCCAAGUCAACGGUGAAAGCUCGGCGCUCAACGCCGAGUCGGCCGUCGAGACUGGGUGGCUCGAGCACUGUAGAGGCAGAUGGAAUUCCGGGUGUAGCGGUGGAAUGCGUAGAGAUCCGGAAGAACACCGGUGGCGAAGGCGGUCUGCUGGGCAGUAGCUGACACUGAGGCGCGACAGCGUGGGGAGCAAACAGG